CUAAAUGGAUUUCUGGCCUUGGAACCCCAAGAAUCGCUUAGAGAGCUGCCACAGUUCUUUUAGAAUGUUUUCUAGCAGCGACCCAGAGAAGGCUGUCUGAAGAGUGAACACGGCUCUGUUAGAAUUUUUUUUCUUUCUGAUUUUGAUUGGAAAACCUAAGAAUUACUUUUAGAAUUUUUCUAUCUGACUUGGUCAGAAGAUCUAAGAACUUUGUUAGAGCAGCUUUUCCGACUUUGGUCAGAAAACCCAUGAGCUAUUUAGAGAGCUGUUAGAAUGUUUACUAGCAGAGAGAGCUGUCUCAGCAGAAAGCUAGCUGUCUCAACCAGAGAGGGUUUUUUUUGUUUUUUUUUGUUGUUUUUGUUUUUGUUUUUGUUUUUGUUUUUUUGUUUUUGUUUUUGUUUUUUUUAAGAAUAGCAAGAAAAAAAGCUGUCUAGAACAGAGAGAGAGAGAGAAUCUGGAAACAUAGGCCAGCUUGGACCCAUGAGGCUGGUCCUUGGCAGAUUCCUGGGCCUUGAAAGGAGGGGGUUGAUGAAGACAGCCCAUUUAGAACUGAGUGCUCUGAAAUGAACUCUCUCUGUGCGUUGUCAGUUGAGGGUCUCUGUAUUAGCUCCCAUCAGCUACAAGAAGCAGCUUCUCUGAUGAGGGCUGAGGGAGGCACUGGCCAGGGGUAUAGCUGUGCGUCAUUAGGAGCCACGUUAUUGCUGUGUUCCUUUAGCAAAACAGUAGUAUUAGGUUUCUCUGUCUCCUCUCAGGUUCUUGGCCAAUUUAGCUGCGUCAGAUGCUAGUUCCAUCUAACAGAGUGGGUCUUGGAUCCAAUCAGAAAGUGGUUGGUUACUCUCACACACAUAUCGCUAUUGUACAGUGGCCUGCAAGCAGGUCAUUAUUGUAGGCCACAGGUUUUAUAGACGAUAGAUAUCGAUAAUCACCCUUAUCCUCCAGAACCACACAGAAUACCUUCCAAUAUCAUGGAUGCUAGUCAGUAGAGCGUCUUGCGAAGCUUCCUGUUGGACACCAGCUCACCUUCUCUAUAACAUAUAUAAGUUCUGUCUUCAACAUCAGGACCUUACCAGCAGGUUAUUGGAGUCACAGCCUUUACAGUAGCCAGCCUUGUUUAGGUGUUUCCAUGGGGAAGGGGCAGGGAGGAUUGGCCCAACAACUCAACAAACUGUGAUCCAUUCCUGACACUGGAGGUUUUAAGUCAUUGGACACCGGAGGCAUAAGAUGUUUAGUUGGGACAUCGUGUCUCCUAUCAUUUGGCUGCUUCCAAUUUCUGGCCCUCGUGAAUAAAGCAGUAAACAUAGAUGAGUGAGUGUCUCUGUCAUAGGAUGGAAAGACCUUUGAGUUCACAUUCAAGAAUGGCAUCGCUGGACUUUUCGACAGAUCAGUUCUUACCUUCUGAAGAACCUCCACACUGAUUUCCAUAGUGGCUGUACAAGUUUGCACUCCCAGCAACAAUAAAUAAAUAAGUGUUCUCG